rnacentral:rRNA from 1 species
UGGGGAAUAUUGCGCAAUGGGAGAAAUCCUGACGCAGCGACGCCGCGUGAGUGAUGAAGGCCUUCGGGUUGUAAAACUCUGUGGAGCGGGAAGAAAUUAUUCAUGGCUAAUAUCCAUGGAUAUUGACGGUACCGCUAAAGCAAGCACCGGCUAACUCCGUGCCAGCAGCCGCGGUAAUACGGAGGGUGCAAGCGUUGAUCGGAAUUAUUGGGCGUAAAGCGUGAGUAGGUGGUUUAUUAAGUCAGAUGUGAAAUCUCCAGGCUUAACUUGGAAACUGCAUCUGAUACUGGUAGACUAGAGCGUAAGAGAGGGAGGUGGAAUUCCCAGUGUAGGGGUAAAAUCCGUAGAUAUUGGGAGGAACACCGGAGGCGAAGGCGGCCUCCUGGCUUACUGCUGACACUCAGUCACGAGAGCGUGGGUAGCAAACAGG